rfam:Ornithorhynchus anatinus chromosome X1, whole genome shotgun sequence.
CAGUUUGAGGUGGACACGUGGUGCAGUAUGAUAGUGGAAUAAGCUGCAUCACGUGUGACCUCCAUACACCGU